AGUGAACGCUGGCGGUAGGCCUAACACAUGCAAGUCGAACGGCAGCACAGGAGAGCUUGCUCUCUGGGUGGCGAGUGGCGGACGGGUGAGGAAUACAUCGGAAUCUACCUUUUCGUGGGGGAUAACGUAGGGAAACGUACGCUAAUACCGCAUACGACCUACGGGUGUAAGUGGGGGACCGCAAGGCCUAACGAGAUUAACUUAGCCGAUGUCCGAUGAGCUAGUUGGCGGGGUAAUGGCCCACCAAGGCGACGAUCGGUAGCUGGUCUGAGAGGAUGAUCAGCCACACUGGAACUGAGACACGGUCCAGACUCCUACGGGAGGCAGCAGUGGGGAAUAUUGGACAAUGGGCGCAAGCCUGAUCCAGCCAUACCGCGUGGGUGAAGAAGGCCUUCGGGUUGUAAAGCCCUUUUGUUGGGAAAGAAAUCCUGUCGAUUAAUACUCGGUGGGGAUGACGGUACCCAAAGAAUAAGCACCGGCUAACUUCGUGCCAGCCGCCGCUGUAAAAC
rnacentral:rRNA from 1 species